CGACUAGGUUACGAUAAGUAACAGCUGAUGUGAUUUAUUUUAAAUAGGGGUGUUAGGACAUGAGGCAGUGGUAAUCGUUUUGGUUCUAAUGUCUCGAGGUAAUUAGCAGGUGCUACUCGGUACCUGCUAAUUACUAUAUGUUCGUAGAGUAAGACAG
rnacentral:sRNA from 1 species